UCCCCUCAGUUUGUCUGGAGAGCUUACUACCGCUGACUCCAGCACAGCCGGAUGCUCAAUCAACGCACUCUCCACCUCAAAUGGACCUAUCCUGUAGCUGAACACAACAAACAUGUACACCAACGUUUAUUGCCCACCACUGAGGAACCCUGGGAAGCAUGACUAUCACAAUAUCAGUGGGGUGUAGCCUGCAUGGACCCAGCAACACAUUGGCAACACUGGAAAAAUGUUAUUGAAUAUAUAAAGAUGAUAAACACACA